AACGAACGCUGGCGGCAUGCCUAACACAUGCAAGUCGAACGCUAUCUUGUAUAGAGUGGCGCACGGGUGAGUAACGCGUGGGAACCUGCCUUUCUCUGCGGGACAACGGUUGGAAACGACCGCUAAUACCGCAUACGCCCUACGGGGGAAAGGUCAGCCGGAGAAAGAGGGGCCCGCGUUAGAUUAGCUAGUUGGUGGGGUAAUGGCCUACCAAGGCGACGAUCUAUAGCUGGUCUGAGAGGAUGAUCAGCCACACUGGGACUGAGACACGGCCCAGACUCCUACGGGAGGCAGCAGUGGGGAAUAUUGGACAAUGGGGGCAACCCUGAUCCAGCAAUGCCGCGUGUGUGAUGAAGGCCCUAGGGUUGUAAAGCACUUUCACUGGUGAAGAUGAUGACGGUAACCAGAGAAGAAGCCCCGGCUAACUUCGUGCCAGCCGCCGCCGUAACAC
rnacentral:rRNA from 1 species